rnacentral:rRNA from 1 species
CAGCAGCCGCCACGGUAAUACGUAGGGUGCGAGCGUUAAUCGGAAUUACUGGGCGUAAAGCGUGCGCAGGCGGUUGUACAAGACAGAUGUGAAAUCCCCGGGCUUAACCUGGGAAUGGCAUUUGUGACUGUACGGCUAGAGUGUGUCAGAGGGGGGUAGAAUUCCACGUGUAGCAGUGAAAUGCGUAGAUAUGUGGAGGAAUACCGAUGGCGAAGGCAGCCCCCUGGGAUAACACUGACGCUCAUGCACGAAAGCGUGGGGAGCAAACAGGAUUAGAUACCCCGGUAGUCCCUGUCUCUUAUAC